rnacentral:lncRNA from 1 species
AUCUCUACUGGUAUUAUGUAUUAUACUAUAAGGAAGGCCCACCCCAUCUCUACUGGUAUUAUACUAUAAGGAAGGCUCACCCCAUCUCUACUGGUAUUAUGUAUUAUACUAUAAGUAAGGCCCACCCCAUCUCUACUGGUAUUACACUAUAAGGAAGGCCCACCCCAUCUCUACUGGUAUUAUGUAUUAUACUUUAAGCAAGGCCCACCCCAUCUCUACUGGAAUUAUGUAUUAUACUAUAAGGAAGGACCACCCAAUCUCUACUAUUAUUAUACUAUAAGGAAGGCUCACCCCAUCUCUACUGGUAUUAUGUAUUAUACUAUAAGUAAGGCCCACCCCAUCUCUACUGGUAUUACACUAUAAGGAAGGCCCACCCCAUCUCUACUGGUAUUAUGUAUUAUACUAUAAGGAAGGACCACCCAAUCUCUACUAUUAUUAUACUAUAAGGAAGGCCCACCCCAUCUCUACUGGUAUUAUACUAUAAGGAAGGCUCACCCCAUCUCUACUGGUAUUA